UGGGGGAAUUUUGGACAAUGGGCGAAAGCCUGAUCCAGCAAUGCCGCGUGUGUGAAGAAGGCCUUCGGGUUGUAAAGCACUUUUGUCCGGAAAGAAAUCCUCUGGGUUAAUACCUCGGGGGGAUGACGGUACCGGAAGAAUAAGCACCGGCUAACUACGUGCCAGCAGCCGCGGUAAUACGUAGGGUGCAAGCGUUAAUCGGAAUUACUGGGCGUAAAGCGUGCGCAGGCGGCUUUGUAAGACGGAUGUGAAAUCCCCGGGCUUAACCUGGGAACUGCAUUCGUGACUGCAAGGCUAGAGUAUGGCAGAGGGGGGUAGAAUUCCACGUGUAGCAGUGAAAUGCGUAGAGAUGUGGAGGAAUACCGAUGGCGAAGGCAGCCCCCUGGGCCAAUACCGACGCUCAUGCACGAAAGGCGUGGGGAGCAAACAGGAUUAGAUACCCUGGUAGUCCACGCCCUAAACGAUGUCAACUAGUUGUUGGGGAUUCAUUUCCUUAGUAACGUAGCUAACGCGUGAAGUUGACCGCCUGGGGAGUACGGUCGCAAAGAUUAAAACUCAAAUGAAUUGACGGGGUCAUAGCUG
rnacentral:rRNA from 1 species